GUAGCCAAACCAAAAGUCAACGAAAUUAAGAGAAUACGAAAUGAAAAACAGGUUUAUUCAUAGGGGGAACUUAUGUGCAUGUUGGAAGAAAUUUCACAAAAAUUUCUACUAUUGGUUAAAGAUUGAAUGUUUAUUUCCAACUUGUUUAGAUUAUUGUAGUGUUUAGGAAUAAGAUAUUGUAAAUUUGAAGAACUACAUGUUCAUUGUGAGUCAUAAAUAAGUCUAUAUGUUUAUUUGUAAGUAGGGUGUAUAAUUUGGAUUGACAAGUCUUUCUUCUUUUCUACAUAAAUUUGUAUUUGAUGAUUU